GGCCAGCAGCCGCGGUAAUACGUAGGGAGCGAGCGUUGUCCGGAUUUAUUGGGCGUAAAGGGCGUGUAGGCGGCCUGUUAAGUCUGAAGUGAAAAUCCAGGGCUCAACCCUGGAACUGCUUCGGAUACUGAUGGGCUUGAGUGCUCUAGAGGGUAGUGGAAUUGCCGGUGUAGCAGUGAAAUGCGUAGAGAUCGGCAGGAACACCAGUGGCGAAGGCGACUGCCUGGGGAGUAACUGACGCUGAGGCGCGAAAGCUGGGGGAGCAAACGGGAUUAGAUACCCCGGUAGUCCCAGCCGUAAACGAUGAGUGCUAGGUGUAGCGGGUAUCGACCCCCGCUGUGCCGCAGUUAACGCAUUAAGCACUCCGCCUGGGGAGUACGGCCGCAAGGUUGAAACUCAAAGGAAUUGACGGGGGCCCGCACA
rnacentral:rRNA from 1 species